rnacentral:tRNA from 1 species
GUAAAUAUAGUUUAAAUAAAACUCUAGAUUGUGAAUCUAGCAACAGAAACUCCAACCUUCUUAUUUACC